AGUCAUAAGUGAGCUGCCAACUUGGCUGAUUGCCAGUCGCUGUGAGACAGGCAAACAAAUGCGCCUCACUUCGCCUUGCUAGCUGCAAUCGUUCCAUGCAUUUUUAAUAGACGCUCUGCCAUGAAAGAAAAACAGCAAGAAGGCGAAAAAAAAGAACGAAAAUGAAAUAGACGAAAAGAAAAGCGAGCGAAAAAAAUGAGAAUGAAGCGAAGAAAAAAGCAUAUUUGCCAGCACGGCGUAUACGUAAUUUUCGCAUAUUGCGUAUACGUUGCAGCGCGUGGCAAGAAAUGCAACGAAUUUCACACUCACACAGACACACUCGAGGCUUAUGUAAGCGGACGCCAAUGCACUCAGCAGCAACAGCAGCUAAGUGCGCUGCCCGUGGCAAAAAUUGCAGCCAGCUCAUGACUUUGCAACUACACACAACUCGUUGCAGACUGAUGGGGCAUGUGGCAUGUGGCAUGCGGCACGGUUGUUGCGAUUUCCGGGGCCAAGCUUAAUGCUCUUGUGGCUUUAAACAUCGAUGCAUCAAUGCUGCAUCAUAUUUGAAAUGUCACUAAUGCCCAGCAUCGAUUCUAGUUUUUCUCCCAAUUUGAUGAAGUGACAAACAACAAAAUGAAGAACGAGCAUUGCAAUAAAGCUGACAAAAGCAAAUAGUAACAGGCCACCCACUUCUCUAGCAACUUUCUCUUUACCUUUUACGCUUUUACUGCCCUUUUUUUUGCCACUGCCAAUUGUCGCUCAACCCACGGCGACAACGCGGCGGCUGCUGUUAAUAUGACAAA